AUUGAACGCUAGCGGGAUGCCUUAUACAUGCAAGUCGAACGGAGUGGCGAACGGGUGAGUAAUGUAUCGGAACGUGCCCAGUAGCGGGGUAUAACUACGCGAAAGCGUAGCUAAUACCGCAUACUAUUGGAGCGGCCGCUGUGGGAUUAGCUAGUUGGUGGGGUAACGGCUCACCAAGGCGACGAUCCGUAGGUGGUUUGAGAGGACGACCAGCCACACUGGGACGGAGACACGGCCCAGACUCCUACGGGAGGCAGCAGUGGGGAAUGUUGGGCAAGGGGGGAAACCCUGAGCCAGCAAUCCCGCGUGAGCGAUGAAGGCCUUCGGAUUGUAAAGCACUUUUGGCAGGGAAGCGGUACCUACAGAGUAAGCACCGGCUAACUACGUGCCAGCAGCCGCGGUAAUAC
rnacentral:rRNA from 1 species